rnacentral:SRP_RNA from 1 species
GUCGGACGCGGUGGCGCACGCCUGUAGUCCCAGCUACUCGGGAGGCUGAGGUGGGAGGAUCGCUUGAGUCCAGGAGUUCUGGGCUGCAGUGCGCUAUGCCGAUCGGGUGUCCGCACUAAGUUCGGCAUCAAUAUGGUGACCUCCCGGGAAUGGGGGACCACCAGGUUGCCUAAGGAGGGGUGAACCGGCCCAGGUCGGAAAUGGAGCAGGUCAAAACUCCCGUGCUGAUCAGUAGUGGGAUCGCGCCUGUGAAUAGCCACUGCACUCCAGCCUGGGCAAUAUAGUGAGACCCUGUCUCUA